GACGUAGGUGGCGAGCGUUGUUCGGAAUCACUGGGCAUAAAGCGCACGUAGGCGGCUGGGUCAGUCGGAUGUGAAAUACCUCGGCUCAACCGAGGAACUGCGUCCGAUACUGCCUGGCUUGAGGUCCGGAGGGGAGAGUGGAAUUCCCGGUGGAGCGGUGAAAUGCGCAGAUAUCAGGAGGAACACCAAUUGCGAAGGCAGCUCGCUGGGACGUUACUGACGCUGAGACGCGAAAGCGUGGGGAGCAAACAGG
rnacentral:rRNA from 1 species